rnacentral:rRNA from 1 species
AGUUUGAUCAUGGCUCAGAGUGAACGCUGGCGGCAGGCCUAACACAUGCAAGUCGAGCGGCAGCGCGGGGGCAACCCUGGCGGCGAGCGGCGGACGGGUGAGGAAUACAUCGGAAUCUGCCUUGUUGUGGGGAUAACGUAGGGAAACUUACGCUAAUACCGCAUACGACCGUAAGGUGAAAGCGGGGGAUCGCAAGACCUCGCGCGAUUGGAGCGGCCGAUGGCAGAUUAGGUAGUUGGUGGGGUAAAGGCUCACCAAGCCGACGAUCUGUAGCUGGUCUGAGAGGACGACCAGCCACACUGGGACUGAGACACGGCCCAGACUCCUACGGGAGGCAGCAGUGGGGAAUUUUGGACAAUGGGCGAAAGCCUGAUCCAGCCAUUCCGCGUGCAGGAUGAAGGCCCUCGGGUUGUAAACUGCUUUUGUACGGAACGAAAAGGCUCUUUCUAAUACAAGGAGCUCAUGACGGUACCGUAAGAAUAAGCACCGGCUAACUACGUGCCAGCAGCCGCGGUAGUCGGGCCCAAUCGC